GCAUAUCAAUAAGCGGAGGAAAAGAAACCAACAGGGAUUGCCCUAGUAACGGCGAGUGAAGCGGCAACAGCUCAAAUUUGAAAUCUGGCUUCGGCCCGAGUUGUAAUUUGCAGAGGAUGUUUAUGGUGCGGUACCUUCCGAGUUCCCUGGAACGGGACGCCACAGAGGGUGAGAGCCCCGUCUGGUUGGAUACCAAACCUGUGUUAAACUCCUUCAACGAGUCGAGUAGUUUGGGAAUGCUGCUCUAAAUGGGAGGUAAAUCUCUUCUAAAGCUAAAUACCGGCCAGAGACCGAUAGCGCACAAGUAGAGUGAUCGAAAGAUGAAAAGCACCUUGAAAAGGGGGUUAAACAGUACGUGAAAUUGUUAAAAGGGAAGCGUUUAUGACCAGACUUGUGUCGUGUGGCUCAUCCGAGGUUCUCCCCGGUGCACUCCACACGGCUCAGGCCAACAUCGGUUCUCGUUGGGGGAUAAGAACAGUAGGAACGUGGCCCUCUUCGGAGGGUGUUAUAGCCUGCUGUACGAUACCCUGAUGGGGACCGAGGACCGCGCUUCGGCUAGGAUGUUGGCGUAAUGGUCAUUAGCGACCCGUCUUGAAACACGGACCAAGGAGUCGUCCAUUAGAGCGAGCGUUUGGGUGUAAAACCCGCACGCGUAAUGAAAGUGAAAUUAGGUGAGAGCUUCGGCGCAUCAUCGACCGAUCCUGAAGUUUACGGAUGGAUUUGAGUAAGAGUUUUAACGGACGGACCCGAAAGACAGUGAACUAUGCUUGAAUAGGGUGAAGCCAGAGGAAACUCUGGUGGAGGCUCGCAGCGGUUCUGACGUGCAAAUCGAUCGUCAAAUUUGAGCAUGGGGGCGAAAGACUAAUCGAACUGUCUAGUAGCUGGUUACCGCCGAAGUU
rnacentral:rRNA from 1 species